rnacentral:rRNA from 2 species
UACGUAGGGGGCUAGCGUUAUCCGGAAUUACUGGGCGUAAAGGGUGCGUAGGUGGUUUCUUAAGUCAGAGGUGAAAGGCUACGGCUCAACCGUAGUAAGCCUUUGAAACUGGGAAACUUGAGUGCAGGAGAGGAGAGUGGAAUUCCUAGUGUAGCGGUGAAAUGCGUAGAUAUUAGGAGGAACACCAGUUGCGAAGGCGGCUCUCUGGAUUGUAACUGACACUGAGGCACGAAAGCGUGGGGAGCAAACAGG